rnacentral:rRNA from 1 species
UAACGACUCUCGGCAACGGAUAUCUCGGCUCUCGCAUCGAUAAAAAAACAUAGCGAAAUGCGAUACUUGGUGUGAAUUGCAGAAUCCCGUGAACCAUAGAGUCUUUGAACGCAAAUUGGCCCCGAAGCCGUUAGGCCGAGGGCACGUUUGCCUGGGCGUUUUGCA